rnacentral:rRNA from 1 species
GAUGAACGCUGGCGGCGUGCUUAACACAUGCAAGUCGAACGAUGAUCCGGUGCUUGCACCGGGGAUUAGUGGCGAACGGGUGAGUAACACGUGAGUAACCUGCCCUUAACUCUGGGAUAAGCCUGGGAAACUGGGUCUAAUACCGGAUAUGACUGAUCAUCGCAUGGUGGUUGGUGGAAAGCUUUUUGUGGUUUUGGAUGGACUCGCGGCCUAUCAGCUUGUUGGGAGGUAAUGGCUUACCAAGGCGACGACGGGUAGCCGGCCUGAGAGGGUGACCGGCCACACUGGGACUGAGACACGGCCCAGACUCCUACGGGAGGCAGCAGUGGGGAAUUUUGGGCAAUGGGCGAAAGCCUGACCCAGCAACGCCGCGUGAAGGAU